UACGUAGGGUCCGAGCGUUUGUCCGGAAUCAUUGGGCGUAAAGAGCGCGUAGGCGGUCCGGUAAGUCCGCUCUGAAAGUCCGGGGCUCAACCCCGGGAGGCGGGCGGAUACUGUCGGGCUAGAGUCCGGAAGAGGCGAGUGGAAUUCCUGGUGUAGCGGUGAAAUGCGCAGAUAUCAGGAGGAACACCAAUGGCGAAGGCAGCUCGCUGGGACGGUACUGACGCUGAGGAGCGAAAGCGUGGGGAGCGAACAGG
rnacentral:rRNA from 1 species